CGGGACGGGUGAGUAAUGCUUGGGAAUCUAGCUUAUGAGGGGGAGUAAUUACGGGAAACUGUAGCUAAUACCGCGUAAUAUCGAAAGAUUAAAGUGUGGGACCUUCGGGCCACAUGCCAUAGGAUGAGCCCAAGUGGGAUUAGGUAGUUGGUGAGGUAAAGGCUCACCAAGCCGACGAUCUCUAGCUGGUCUGAGAGGAUGACCAGCCACACUGGGACUGAGACACGGCCCAG
rnacentral:rRNA from 1 species